CAGCCGCCGCGGUAAUACGAGGGGGGCAAGCGUUGUUCGGAAUUACUGGGCGUAAAGCGCACGUAGGCGGCUUGGUAAGUUAGAGGUGAAAGCCCGGAGCUCAACUCCGGAAUUGCCUUUAAGACUGCCGAGCUAGUAGGUGAGAGAGGUAAGUGGAAUUCCGAGUGUAGAGGUGAAAUUCGUAGAUAUUCGGAAGAACACCAGUGGCGAAGGCGGCUCACUGGACUGGUAUUGACGCUGAGGUGCGAAAGCGUGGGGAGCAAACAGGAUUAGAUACCCCAGUAGUCCCUGUCUCUUAUAC
rnacentral:rRNA from 1 species